CGAGCUCUCCGGUCAGAUAUCUUUAGCAUGUGGUUGAGGAUUGCUGCUAUGGCUUUAUGUAUGUGUUUUCAUGUAUAUUCCANUCAAACUGGUGUCUGGAGGGAACAUCUUAGCUUUGGUGGGUAAAAUUUCGAGCCAAAGUAUUUGGCCUUCAAGCAUAAAAGGAAACCAACUAUCUCCAUACNGUGUCCCAUACAGGACUUUACUCCUCAGUCUCUUUAAAUGUCCUGCAAAACCCCACAAUUACUUUGGACCACAGUAGAUUCUCGGUUUGAUGUGCUUUGGUCUGGGGACGUCUGGUAGCAUCGAAGCACACUGCGCUCAUGUGAAGGGCUGCUAAACUGGGUUCUUCUCUUUCCACUGCAAGAGCAGGAAAACAGACUUUUGAUUGGACGUUCAUUUGGCCUUAAAAUUAAGGGUUGUGGUCCAACCACAUUGUGGUGCUGUUUAAAGAAUAAAGAGUUUGCCAGCUGUUUUGGCUGUCUCUUUCUCAAGCCAGGUAGCAGUGCAGCUAAUCAGGCAUGGGGUGGCCUGUCUGAAACAGCUGCUAAAGGUUCAUAUAUUGUGCCACGUUUGGGGAGAAGGGGGCAGACGGCGAUCUUUGGAAAAAGGCAGAAAAAAAACUCAAAAUCUUUACUGAUCUCUAAUGUAAGGAUGGGGAAAGNGUGUAGCUUUCUCUUAAAUCCUGUCUGAUCCUUUACCUGGAUAGUGAGGCUUGAUACACUACGGACUAGCUGCGGAUUCAGCCUUAUGGCUGUAAAACAAAAUCGCUGCUGGUUUGUGUGUGGCACUGCUAUAAAUUUUAAGAACGCAGGUUCCUUUCGGUCCUCCAAAACAAUGGCCUUGCUGAUUUUUUCUGGGCUUUACCCCUUCGUCCAACAAAAUGGGNUGUGAGGGUGCCUUUGCAGGGCUGAACUGGUUGGUUAUUCCUCCGCACUUAGAAAUCUAGAAGCGCCUAGCUAGGAAGGGAGGGGUUAAGGGUCUUUAUACCUCUUCAAGGUCAAAGCUGUACGGCCAGGUGACUGUNUGGCAACUGAGAGCUGAAGGUGUCCCAGCUGACUUGGAGAGAUAAAAAGAGGGAACUAGGUGUUCUUGACCAAAGAAGGAGCCACUAAACUUCUCAAGAGUCCUGUGAACUUCUCAAGGCAGCGUUUUUAUUGUCUUAAGCCGUGAAGGGAGACGGUGAAGGAAACGUACCCCAGUGUGGGCUCAGAGAAAGCUGGACACC
rnacentral:lncRNA from 1 species